UACGGAGGGAGCUAGCGUUGUUCGGAAUUACUGGGCGUAAAGCGCGCGUAGGCGGCUUUGUAAGUUAGAGGUGAAAGCCCGGGGCUCAACCCCGGAACUGCCUUUAAGACUGCAUCGCUUGAAUCCGGGAGAGGUGAGUGGAAUUCCGAGUGUAGAGGUGAAAUUCGUAGAUAUUCGCAAGAACACCAGUGGCGAAGGCGGCUCACUGGCCCGAUACUGACGCUGAGAAGCGAAAGCAUGGGGAGCGAACAGG
rnacentral:rRNA from 1 species